rnacentral:rRNA from 1 species
AUCGAACGCUGGCGGCAGGCCUAACACAUGCAAGUCGAGCGGAUGACGGGAGCUUGCUCCUUGAUUGAGCGGCGGACGGGUGAGUAAUGCCUAGGAAUCUGCCUGGUAGUGGGGGAUAACGUUUCGAAAGGAACGCUAAUACCGCAUACGUCCUACGGGAGAAAGCAGGGGACCUUCGGGCCUUGCGCUAUCAGAUGAGCCUAGGUCGGAUUAGCUAGUUGGUGGGGUAAUGGCUCACCAAGGCGACGAUCCGUAACUGGUCUUAGAGGAUGACCAGUCAAACUGGAACUGAGGCACGGUCCAGACUUCUACGGGAGGCAGCAGUGGGGAAUAUUGGACAAUGGGCGAAAGCCUGAUCCAGCCAUGCCGCGUGUGUGAAGAAGGUCUUCGGAUUGUAAAGCACUUUAAGUUGGGAGGAAGGGCAGUAAGUUAAUACCUUGCUGUUUUGACGUUACCGACAGACUAAGCACCGGCUAACUCUGUGCCAGCAGCCGCGGUAAAAC